rnacentral:rRNA from 1 species
GGAUGUCAAGUCAGCAUGGCCUUUAUAUCCUGGGCUACACCACACGCUACAAUGGCCAACACAAUAGGUUGCUAAGCCGCGAGGUGGCGCCAAUCCAUAAAGUUGGUCUCAGUUCAGAUUGUAGGCUGCAACCCGCCUGCAUGAAGAUGGAGUUGCUAGUAACCGCAGGUCAGCUAUACUGCGGUGAAUACGUUCCCGGGGCUU